AAUUUCAACUCCUAUUUUAACUUAUAUUUUCAGAGAAGGUAUUUGGUCCAAAUGAAGAAUAUCUUCAAUUAUAGUUCUUCUAUUGCAAGCAAAAAAGGAUUUAUACUUCUUUUCAUGAAAUACGGUUGUUUGACAACAGAAGGAUAAAUAUUUUAUAUUUUUAGAAACAACAGUCAGGCUACUGAUAUUCUUAAUGAGUUUUAAUAAAUCUGAAUGCUUCUUAUCAUCUACUCUUUAGCUGGUACCUGAGGAGUUGUAUACCUCCGGGAAGAUAUGUGCUCCAGACCCGUAAAUAUGCAGUUCACAGAGCCCAGCACCAGAGGACAAUAAUGAAGUAAACUCUUGAAACCAUGUAGUGAAAAUAGUGGGAGUUUAAAUAAAAGCAACAUUUCACAGUAUGCUUUUCUGACCAAUCUUAUAUCUAAUAACCUAAUGGAUUAUAUGUACACGGAUUCUGAAAAGUCAGCAGCACACUUCACUGGUCAAUUUCUAUGAUAAGGGGAACGGAAUUUGAGUGUAGAAAAACAGUAUACUUACAUCUUAAAAUUCCACCCCUACAGAAUCUACUCACUAUUGAAAACUGAGACAGAAACACACAGAGACAAUUCCAUGUGACAACAGUGAAAGAGACCAGAGUGAUGCAGCUGCAAAUCAAACAACUGCCAACACCAGUGAUUGAUGGCCACCACCAGAAUCUGGUUAAGACAAAGAAGGAUCCUCCCCUUGAGGCGUCAGAAAGAACAUGGCCCUCUCAACACUUUGAGUUUGAACUUCUGGCCUCUAGAGCUGUGAUAAAAUAAAUUUCUGUUCUUUUAAGCUAACAAGUUUGUGGUAUCUUGUUAUGGUAGCCCUAGAGAUGACAGUAUUUGAUUCCUGAGCUGGCAACUGUAUUUUGACUAUGUAAUGACUAUUCCAAGAUAAUCAACAGACACAAAGAUAAAGGCAAAACUGAGACUAA